GUUUUUAUAAUUUAACAAAAAUAUUGGUCUUGUAAAUCAAAAAUAAGUAAGAUACUUUAAAAACU
rnacentral:tRNA from 1 species